CUCCUCCUUUUAUAUUUUUCUCACCACUGUUGGACCGCCACUCCAUCGUUGUCGAACCACCAUCGUCAUUGCUGUUGCUAUCGUCGGACCACCAUCGCCACCGCCACUGCCACCGGUGAUCAAAUUUUUUUUUCUUUUUACUUCCUCUUUCUUUUUUCGAUUCCUUAAUGAAUAAAACUCACAUUUUCUAUCACUUUAUCUAUUAUUUUUAGAGCACUCAAAAUCGUCGAUCUCAUUCCAUUCUCGAUCCUUCGACCAUCUCGUAUUAAAUCAAGUGUAAGUGAGGUUAUUCGAUUCGUAAAUCUGUCUGAGGUUAUUCAAUUCAUAAAUCUUUCUUUUAAAAAUACCAUAGUUAGCCGAAUGGUAUAGUAUUUUAUUGUUAUCAAAAUAUUUUAUUAUUCGUUUAUCAUAGUACUAAUGCAAUUUCGUAACAACUUGAAGGAUCAGACAUCGCUAACCCAAGAAAUCCUUAGUGAGUUAACAAGCACAUCGAAACCAAGUUUCGAUUUAUGGGUAAGUGAUGGUGAGAACUAUUUUGAAUGAUUAAAACUUUAAGUAUUAAAACAAUUCCGAUAGAUUUAUAACUAAAGAAAGUGUUUGGUGCGAUAGAUUCAUCUACCGGUUUAGAUCCAAGCAGAACCUCUUCUAGUAAGAUUGUGGCCAUCGAAUCUAUGGUUUAAGGUAUGGGAUCUAACUAUUGAUUUGAGUAUAAUAUGAUAUUAUUUUAUUUUAAUAAAAUGUUAUUAAAUUAAUUAAAUCAAGAGUACACUAAGUACUUAAGUGGAGUUGAGAAACUCAACCAAGAGGUUUGUAAGUGUCA
rnacentral:lncRNA from 1 species